rnacentral:lncRNA from 1 species
GGGAUAAUAUCUUAUAAGAUUAGAUUUAACUUGAUUGUGUAAAUCUUGUAAAUCCCUUAACUGUAGGGAUAGGUUUCAUCUCGUCUGUUGAUGUAAAUUUAGCUAGACCAUUGGAUAUGGAGGAGCUCAACUAUAAAUAGAGAGUCUCCCCCUUAGUUGUAAAUCAUCCAUUGUAUCCAUUGUUUUGUAUUCUUUGAGAGUGAAUACUAAAUUGAGAGCAUUUACUUAAACACCUCUCGUGCAUUAUUUUUCUAUGACUAUUCUGUUCUUUUAAACAUUCUUUUGGCUUGAAUUGCUUUCGCUAUAUAAAUUGAUGCAUUGGAGGAAUUCUAUGAGAAUCCUCAUUUGGUGGGAGAUAGGUUGAUUUAGGCGUGUUUGAAAUGAAGGAAUUGCCUAAAGCCGUAUGGAUUGUGAAACUAAAGUUCUAGCCCGGUGACACAAGCUUAUAACUAUUAUUUGCUAGGCUUUGUGGCAUUCUAGAAACAAGUGGAUCCAUGAGAACAAAUGGGAUUCUGUUACAGACAUCUCUACUUUUGCAGUGCAAUCGAUUGGCUAGAGUUUUCAAAGUAGAAGAUGGACAAGAAAUAUUUUACUAGCUUUAUGGUGCUCCAUUAGCAGCUGUGAGAGACUCAGAAUAUGGUCGUGAUCCAAGGGGGUGAUGUUUUUCCCAGGAUGUGGUUUUACGAGCCAAUUUUACCCAGGCAACUGAUCGUGGCUCGGUAGACUCUGCAUUGUGAAGAUGUUGCCAAAAUCAAUGUUGAUGCAACAUUGAAUGCAGAGUUGAGAAUUGCUACUUCUGGUGCUAUUUUUUGUGACUACGAGGGAUGGUGCUUGUAAGCUUCAGUAGUACAAUUGCUGAAGCCUUUGAUGCCCCGUCUGUUGAGGCUUUUGCUUUGUCAUACGCCAUUCAGAAAGCCCUUGAUAAGGGGUUUUUGGGAAUUGGUCUAAAGUCGGAUUGUGCUUUUAUUGUAAACAAAUUUAAUAGACAAAUUUAAUAGUUGGACUCUAAAAUUAUCUUUUAUGAUGGUAUUAUUAGGGAGUCCUUAGGUUUUUAUGAGUCAUUUGCCGAUUUUAAUUUACUUUUACCCCCUUUUACCCAUAGGUCAGCCAAUAGUAUUGUUCAUUAUUUGAUACAUUGAUUGAUAGAUGGAAAUGAUUUUCUUGAUUUCGGUUUGGGCUACUCCAAUUUCAUCCAUUAGUUGGUGUUGAAUGAUAUUACUUAAUUUAACUC